rnacentral:misc_RNA from 1 species
GAUGAAGAACGUAGCGAAAUGCGAUAAGUAAUGCGAAUUGCAGAAUCCGUGAGUCAUCGAAUCUUUGAACGCACAUUGCGCCCGCCGGUAUUCCGGCGGGCAUGCCUGUUCGAGCGUCAUUUCAACCCUCAAGCCCCGGCUUGGUGUUGGGGCGCCCGGGUCCCCCGCGGCCUGGGGCCCCCAAGUUCAUCGGCGGGCUCGUCGGUACACUGAGCGCAGUAAAAACGCGGUAAAACGCGAACCCUCGCUCGGCCCGUCACCGGCGCGCACCAGCCGCUAAACCCCCAAAACUUUCAAAGGUUGACCUCGGAUCAGGUAGGAAUACCCGCUGAACUUAAGCAUAUCAAUAAGCGGAGGA